CAAAGCUACAAUGUUAGACACAUACUCUUUCUUUUUUUUCUUUCUUGGGAGAGAAGUUACUAAACUGCUUUGACCUUUGCUGUACUGUAAGUGCUCUGGAGCACAGCAUACCACCGAGCUGUUCUAUUUGUUCUGAACAGCCCUGAGGUGUUGCCAUGGGAGAAAGGAGAAUCUGGUGCUUCUUGUUCUGUCAUCUUGCUGAAGGCCAGUAAUAGAGGAGGACCCCUGUGAAAUUUUGGCUCUAAUGACCUGUGGUUCAAAUGUGCAGCUGAAGACGAGAAUGAAUCUAAAUAGAAGUUUUACUAUUUUCUCCCCAUGCUGUGAUGAAUGCCUUUAAACCACACACGCCAAAGCUUAGACCACUCAUCCAGAUGAUUCAAAAAUGAAGAUCAUCAUUUCACGUGGAGUGAAAACAGAACGUGUUAAAGAAGACAAAGAAUAGUGACCAAAAUGUCAAUUUCAUAGCAAAAGAUAUUCAAGGUGCAACUUCCUGGUAUGGAUUUUCCCCUCUGCCUAUGAACAGCAGAUCUCUCUCAGACUUAUUUGCCCUCCACGGUGUUAGAACUUGGUCAGAACAUUUGGCAGUCCAAUAUCAUCUGCAGAAAACAUACUGGCAAUAUUGACUGUUUGGAUAAUCUUCUCUUGAUACAAAAGGAGAACUCUCAUAUACAAAUGGUUCUAAAGAUAUUAAAGAUUUUGGGUCCAUAAUUGCCAAGGCCUGAAAAUCACCAUGCUUUAAAAACUAUUUGGAAUAAAUGUCACCCUCCACUUUUAUCCUGGUGGGUAUUUAAUUCAUGACCUAUGGGCAUCAAGGGAAAGUGAAAACAAGUUCUUCAGCAAUGAUCUGUUCUGGUAAAGCUAGGAUUAAGAAUAGGAAAGGGAUUUCUUGACUGUGAGCUUUGUACAAAAUCCUCUCUUCUGAUGAGUAACAGUAAAGAUAAAUAUUACUAAAUGACUCUGCCAAAAUUUUUCAUUCUCU
ensembl:lncRNA